UCCGCCAGAGUACUACUAACCACACAUUUGAAACUCAAAGGACUUGACGGUGCCUCAAACCCAACUAGAGGAGCCUGUUCUAUAAUCGAUAAUCCACGAUUUACCUCACCACCCUUAGCCCACAGCCCAUAUACCUCCGUCUUCCGCCUACCCUGUGAAAGUAUAAAAGUAGGCACAAUAGUCAACAAGCACUAACAAGUCAGGGCAAGGGGUAGCCCAUAAGGGGGAAAAAAUGGGCUACAUUUUCUAUAAUAAAAAUAUUCUUACGGAGGGGACUUUGAAACAGGGCCCAAUAAGCAGGAUUUAGCAGUAAUGUAGAAGCAGAGAGCCCACAUUAAUUAGGACCUGAGAGGCGUACACACCGCCCGUCACCCUCAUCAAAAAACAACUAAUUUUAAAUAAACCACUAAACCAACGUAUAAAGAUGAGGCAAGUCGUAACAAG
rnacentral:rRNA from 1 species